UGCCCUGCCUCUUGGCAAAACAUAAAAAUAAGCGGACUCCGUGCUGGUAGCUUAAAUGUCGAACGUUCGGAACUAACGCACAAACAA
rnacentral:sRNA from 1 species